UGCCCAGCAACUCCUAUCCCUACCUCCUCAUGGUACUGACCGAGGUACAAGUAACCUUGGGAAAGAUCGGGUAACCAAUCCCAGUGGGAACUUUGGUCGUAUGCUGACAGGGAAGG
rnacentral:ribozyme from 1 species